AGGCAGCAUCCAUCACACAGCACAGCUCUGCUCAGAGUGACCUGGUGGAGGGAUGGAGUUGGAAUAAUACAGGAGAGGAACAAGAAUUCCAGGUCUGGAGAGCUCAGAGUGACUGGUGGAGGUGUGGAUUUGGAAUAAUAUUCCAGCUCUGGAGAGCAGGAGCUUCCCCUUGCCUGGGAGUUUCUGCUGCAUCUGAACACUGAAUUGGGAAAUAAAAUAAACCCUGCUUUUGGAUGCCUGUGGCUCUGUUAAAAUCAGUCUGGAGCUCUCUUGUUUCCCUGCAGACACCAGAAAGUCACCUGGAACGGGGACUCAGCUGCUCUGAUAUGUCAUCACUUAUUCCAAGAAAUGUUCCCUGGCGUGGACUUGCAGGAAUAAAGCCCAGAGGUUGAUUCCAUCGUUUAUAUUGAUUUAUUACACCUGUCUAAAACAAUUUCAAGAGGAAAUUUUUACUUUUUUUUUUCUCUGGGAAGCUCUGAAGUCCCAACCGUGCCCUGGCAGGGCUACAGGAAGCCUCUUGAUCAUCCAGAAAAUAUUCCCUGGCAAUUCUGAAACCCCCCAAAAAAGGGAGAGACCAACACACUUUUUUUUGUCCAUGGACCCGUGCCUGAGAUGAAUUUUGAUGCAAAUGUGUUCAUCUGAAAGUCAUAAAGCAGCUUGAAGAAGGGUUUAGUUUGGAUUUUCCUCCCCUGGAAACCACAAGCAGCUGGAGCUACUUGUUAGUGUUCAUUCAGGCUAAGAGCACUCCCAUUCUCAUCUGUGAGUUUUAUUUAUUUCCCCAGGCUGGGAGAAAAGAUCCCUCAGAUGUGAUCACAGAGGGGAUAAAUCAUCUCAGUGAUUUAAUUACGGCUGGCAAAAUUCAACCCCCGCAUUUUCAACACUCGAAAGUUCAUUUUUUUUUUGCAGCCUGAAACUUCCAUAAAUAAAAGUGGGACAUGUCUUGGAAUAUAAAUUUGGAAUA